ACACUGCUGAGAAGUCCCACAAUAGAACGAAAUGACCAUCCAGUGU
rfam:Schistosoma margrebowiei strain Zambia genome assembly, scaffold: SMRZ_contig0009034